CUACGGGAGGCUGCAGUCGGGAAUUUUGCUCAAUGGGGGAAACCCUGAAGCAGCAACGCCGCGUGAGGGAUGACGGCCUUCGGGUUGUAAACCUCUUUUGUCAGGGACGAUAAUGACGGUACCUGAAGAAUAAGCCACGGCUAACUACGUGCCAGCAGCCGCGGUAAUACGUAGGUGGCAAGCGUUGUCCGGAUUUACUGGGCGUAAAGAGCGCGCAGGCGGCCAGGUCAGUCGAAUGUGAAAGCCCCCGGCUCAACUGGGGAAGGUCGUUCGAUACUGCCUGGCUCGAAGAUAGGAGAGGGAAGUGGAAUUUCAGGUGUAGUGGUGAAAUGCGUAGAUAUCUGAAGGAACACCAGUGGCGAAGGCGACUUUCUGGCCUAUUCUUGACGCUGAGGCGCGAAAGCUAGGGGAGCGAACGGGAUUAGAUACCCCUGUAGUC
rnacentral:rRNA from 1 species